UUAAAAUAAAUUAUAAUAAUUAUUUAUUAAUAUUUUUAAAUUAAAAUAAAAAAUAAUUUUUUUUUAGUAAAUAUUUUUGAAAUAAUAAAAAUUAAUUAUAAGUUAAUUGUAAUGAAAAUGAAAAUUGAAAUAUAACUGAAAAAUUUUUAAAUAAAAAGAAUAAUUGAUUUUAUUUUACCUUGUGUGUCAGGGUUAAUUAACAAAAUAUUUUUAAUUAAAAUUUUUUAGAAAUUAAAAGAUUUAAAAAUUUAAUGUUAUUUAUUGUAAAAUAAAUAUUAAUUUAUUAAUUUUUUGAAAUGAAAUAUUAUUCGAUUUUAAUUAUAACUAAUUUUUUUAGAAAUAAAUUAAAUUUAGAAAUAAAAAAUUUUAAUUAUUUAAUUUAAAUAAAAUUUUAAAAUUUUUUUAUUUUUAUAUAUUAAGGGAUUAGCUUUAUUAUAAAAUAAUUUAUAUAAUAAUUAAAAAAAAUUAAAAAUAUUUAAGCUUAAAAAUAGUUAUUUUUGAAAAUUAAUGUUAUAAUUUAUUUUUUUUUAAUUUUUUUUUAAUAUUUAAUUUUAUUAUUUAUAAUUUUUUUUAUAAAAAAUAAUAAUUUAAUUAAAUUUUUAAUAUUAUAAUGAUUAAAUUAGUAAAAAUUUUUUUAAAAUAUUUUUUUUUUAAUAAAAUUAUUUAAAUAAUUCGACAAAAUUUUAUAUUCAACUGUUUAUCAAAAACAUUUCUUUUUUGUAAAAUAUUUUUUUAAAAAGUAUAGCCUGCCCAUUGAAUUUAAAAAUUUUAAAGGCCGCAGUACAUUAACUGUGCAAAGGUAGCAUAAUCAUUAGUUUUUUAAUUGAAAACUUGUAUGAAAGGUUGAAUGAAAUAUAAAUUGUUUCAUUGAAUAUUAAAUUGAAUUUUAUAUUUUAGUUAAAAAGCUAAAAUAAAAUUUAAAGACGAGAAGACCCUAUAAAGCUUUAUAAAAUUUUAAAUUUUUUAAUUAAUUUAAUUUUAAGUUAUUUAAUAUUAUUUAUUUUAUUGGGGUGAUAAAAAAAUUUAUUAAACUUUUUUUUUUAUAAUCAUUUUUAAAUGAAAAAAUAUUGUUUAAAAUUGAUCCAAUUUUUUUGAUUAUAAAAUUAAGUUACUUUAGGGAUAACAGCGUAAUUUUAUUAAAGAGUUCAUAUUGAUAAUAAAGAUUGCGACCUCGAUGUUGGACUAAGAAAAAUUUUUGAUUAGUGUAGAUGCUAAAAUAUUAAGUCUGUUCGACUUUUAAAAUCUUACAUGAUCUGAGUUCAGACCGGCGUAAGCCAGGUUGGUUUCUAUCUUAAAUUAAUAAUUAAUAUUUUAGUACGAAAGGACCAAAUAUUAAAUUUUAUAAUUUAAAUAAUAAUUUUUAUUAAAAUU
rnacentral:rRNA from 1 species